GAUGAAGAACGCAGCGAAAUGCGAUAAGUAAUGUGAAUUGCAGAAUUCAGUGAAUCAUCGAAUCUUUGAACGCACCUUGCGCUCCUUGGUAUUCCGAGGAGCAUGCCUGUUUGAGUGUCAUUAAAUCAUCAAACCUCUCAAUUUUUACAUUGUCAGGCUUUGGAACUGGAAGUGUUGUUGGCCUUCUUUGGUCAACUCUUCUCAAAAGCAUUAGCCAGAAGCUCUUGCGACUGUCUAUUGGUGUGAUAAUUAUCUAUACCAUUGGCAAGCUGCACUUUGUGUGAGCAUUCUGCUUCUAACUGUCUCGCUUGGCGGACAACAAUUUGACAACUUGACCUCAAAUCAGGUAGGAUUACCCGCUGAACUUAAGCAUAUCAAUAAGCGGAGGA
rnacentral:misc_RNA from 1 species